rnacentral:rRNA from 1 species
UGCUACGGUCAUACCACUCUGAAUAUACCCGAUCCCGUCCGAUCUCGGAAGUCAAGCAGGGUUGGGCCAGAUUAGUACUACGCUGAGGAAUCGCGCGGGAACCCCUGGUGCCGUGGCGU